GGUGAUUAGUAAAUGAAUAUCCAAGACAAACUUUCAAAAGUAAUCUUUUUUUUUUCUUCACCAGAUUACCAUGGCUACAAGAGUCAUGCCCCACAAUGAACAACCAUAUUCCAUGUUGGUGAAAAGCAGUGGGAGUGCUGCAAACACGAAAGCUCUCCUCGGUGGCUGGGAAGGUCCUCCAGGGGCAGCUUGGCCCAACUGAGCAGACAGGAUGCAGAAUAAGGCAUCAGGUCCAAGUUCCAGCCAUCGUAUCCCUUCCGUGAGUUAUGUGACCUUUUACAGGACACCCAGAAAAUCUCGAAAAUGGCCAGAAGAGACAUACAGAAUCUACGAUCCUUUUUCCUUGGGGGUCCAGUCCUUCUUCAAAGACAUCGGAAAACAAUGGAUUGACCCAGAAACUACAUGCUGCCUGAGGAGCUUCUAUCCCCAGAGAUCUUGCUUAUACUGUGCCACAACCCAGACCUUCUUCACAGGAACAGAGACAAUCAGGCAGGGUGACACAGCUUUAGUUUCAGGCUACUGUGCCACCCAUAGAACAGCAUACAGUUGGUGCCGUCGUCCUGAUUAGACGCUUAGUGGGAUCCACCUCAACUGGUUCCCCGUACAUUCCUUGGGAUGUUUCUUGAUCCACUUGUUUUGCCACACUCCCACAGUGCCCCGACCUGGAUUUGGUCCUCCGGACUACAGUCUCUCCCGCUGGCUAUACUGGAUUGCGACAUUUUUAGAAUCAUUAGAGCCCUCAUAUCAUUUGAGACCUGAAGUUUGAUGGCUAUAUACACCCAGAUUAAAGGUUGCUAAGUUUAGGCUGUUAACAAAUCCACAACCAGCUUAUAAAUGUACUCCUAAUGUUUAUGUUCCUCUCACUAGCCCGGGGUCAUUACAGGAUUUGGCCAUUAAAGUAGUAUUACAACCUACUAGGGAAACAAUAAAAUUAGAACUACUGGCUCAAGACUACCAUCAUUGACAUAAAAAAUGCCAAACCCGACCAAACACCUAUGCCCAUAACUUUAAAAAUAAUGUUUCUUUCUAGGAUCCUCAUCGUCCCAGUUCAGCAGGAAGCAUUUCUUGAGGACGCAGCCCCUAAUCCCCAAGAUUGGACAUUAACAGUUGCUUGAGAAGGGGGAAAUGAGGAGCCAGAGUUUCUCUUAUCUUUACUAAGGCCAAAGUCCUUCCAUUUUAACUAAUUUAGAAUAAACUUCAGUAACACCACUCUUCCCCUCCUUAACCAUUAUUUAGAUUGUUCCAUCAGAUAAAUGGGAAAUAGAUGAAUAAAACCCAUUCCCCUCCGCAGAAGACAUGGUCUGCUAGAACAAAGAAGCAGGAUGUUCUGCUAAGAUAAGAACGGGCUGUAGUGAUCAGUUGAAUAAGGCAAAUUCCAUUCCACAGACCUCAUCUGCACACAUACUAACCAAUAAGUUUAAAGUAUAAUUAUAUAUGUGCACCAAUAGAAUGUUAAGAGAUAUAGACCAACAGAAAUAGUAGAAAUAAUGAAGAAAAUAGCCAAUAAGAAACUUAAGAUUUUCAAGCCUCCUUAGCCCUAUAUAACCCUGUUGUAAUCGUGAUUCUGGGCUCUUGCUCUCUAGUGGACAAGGGUCCGGGUUCGAACCUAUAAUAAACCUCUCUUGUGAUUGCAGUGGAUUCGUUUCUCUGCUGGUCCUUGGGGAAACUGAGAUCUGGGUACAACAUUCACAACCCUGCAAACACUUGUUACUUUCUUUUUAAAAAUAUCCAUCCUAACUUGGGUGAAAAGCUACCUUACUAUAGUUCUGAUUGUCAUUUCCUGGAUGGCUGAGAAAAAGUUUCAUUACUGCAUUUGAAAACACUGGGGUGUGUGUGGGUGUUUGUGGGUGUGUGUGUUUGCGCGCACGCGCCUGCGCGCCUAUGUGUGUGCAUCAUAGUACCAAGUCCUUGAAAAGCCUAAGCUUUAUUAAGUACAGAAUUAUAGAUGUUAAACACUUAAAAACAUCCCUGGAAGUUCAGGUUCUGAUAAUAAUUUCAUACUUAUAAUUAUGCAUUUUGAAUGAUUAUUAUACUUUACGUAAGGGACAGAAUAUUAAAAUUUAGCACAGUAUUCAAAAUUUACAAAAAUAAGUGAGUAGGUGAGAAAUUUAAGUUCUGUCCCUGCAUUGGAUGUGAUGACAGAAAGCUGGAGUCCAGGAUAAAGAAGAUCCUGAGAGUAAAAAUCUCUGGGAAGAGCCCAACUGAGAGGAUGCACAACACGUUGUUUGUUGUUGUUGUUGUUGUUGUUGUUGUUUGUACCAGGGAUCGAACUCAGGACCAUGUGCUUGCAAGGCUGGCAGCAGAACCACUGAGCUAAAUCCCCAGCCCAAAUAUCACAUUUUUAAGGGUUCAAAAAUUACUAGACUUCCAGCUAAGAAAUGAGUAAUCUCAGCUCCAGGAGGAAA
rnacentral:lncRNA from 1 species